GAUGAACGCUGGCGGCGUGCCUAAUACAUGCAAGUCGAGCGAACGGACGAGAAGCUUGCUUCUCUGAUGUUAGCGGCGGACGGGUGAGUAACACGUGGAUAACCUACCUAUAAGACUGGGAUAACUUCGGGAAACCGGAGCUAAUACCGGAUAAUAUUUUGAACCGCAUGGUUCAAAAGUGAAGGACGGUCUUGCUGUCACUUAUAGAUGGAUCCGCGCUGCAUUAGCUAGUUGGUAAGGUAACGGCUUACCAAGGCAACGAUGCAUAGCCGACCUGAGAGGGUGAUCGGCCACACUGGAACUGAGACACGGUCCAGACUCCUACGGGAGGCGGCAGUAGGGAAUCUUCCGCAAUGGGCGAAAGCCUGACGGAGCAACGCCGCGUGAGUGAUGAAGGUCUUCGGAUCGUAAAACUCUGUUAUUAGGGAAGAACAUAUGUGUAAGUAACUGUGCACAUCUUGACGGUACCUAAUCAGAAAGCCACGGCUAACUACGUG
rnacentral:rRNA from 1 species